rnacentral:rRNA from 1 species
UAUUUUAGUCUUGUUAGAGGAACCUGUUUUAUAAUCGAUAAACCACGUAUAUUUCACUUAUUUUAAAUAACUUGUAUACCGUCAUUAUUAGAUAACUUUCAAAAAAUUAGUUAUUAAAAUUAAAUUAAAUUAAAUAUAUUAGAUCAAGGUGCAGUUAAUAAAUAAGAAAAAAUGGGUUACAAUAAAAUUUAUUUAAAACGAAUUAUAUAAAUGUAAAAAUAUAUGAAGGAGGAUUUAAUUGUAAUUUUUUUUUUAUAAAAUAAUAAUAUGAUAAUAGCUCUAAAAUAU